UACGAAGGGGGCUAGCGUUGCUCGGAAUUACUGGGCGUAAAGCGCACGUAGGCGGGUUAUUAAGUCAGAGGUGAAAGCCUGGAGCUCAACUCCAGAACUGCCUUUGAUACUGAUAGUCUUGAGUUUGUGAGAGGUAAGUGGAAUACCGAGUGUAGAGGUGAAAUUCGUAGAUAUUCGGUGGAACACCAGUGGCGAAGGCGACUUACUGGCACAAUACUGACGCUGAGGUGCGAAAGCGUGGGGAUCAAACAGG
rnacentral:rRNA from 1 species